rnacentral:ncRNA from 1 species
GGAUGUCACCAUUAUAAAUAGGGUCUUUCCGAUCAUACAUAUGGUCUUUCUCAUCCCUGAUCCCUGAUCCCUGAACUUUUCAUUUUAUUUUUCAUUGUUUACCAUUUAUUUUUUUCUUGUUUCACUCAUUUGACUGUGGCCAUGCAGGGGCACCAAUUUGAGGGGUUUUAAUCGGACAUUCGACCCGAAGAUCUAAUAUUUUCGAAACUAAUUCUAUUCUCCCCGUAACUUAACUGAACUCCUAAGUUACGGAGAGAUAUACAAACCAACAGCGGUUUGUUUAGCAGAAUGGGUCGAAACGAUCGUCGUACAAAUCAGGGUUCGAUGAUUCCGGAGAGGUAGCAUGCGAAAUGGCUACCACAUCUAAGGAAGGCAGCAGGUGCGCAAAUUACCCACUCCCGGCACGAGGAGGUAGC